rnacentral:lncRNA from 1 species
CCUCUCUCCCUCCCCCAUGCAGCUUUGGUCGCGGAAACCUGACUUCUCCGUGUUCUGGACCCUGCCCUCUCACCCCUUCACUCAAGCGCCAUGCUAACCAAGGCUUUCCUUUCCUCCCAGGCCUACUGGCAGAGGCGGGGGUACAGCUGCUGUCCUACCAGACCUCCAAGGUGUCUGACGGAGACACUUGGCACGUCAUGGGCCUCUCCUCCCUACUGCCCAGCCUGGACGCAUGGAAGCAGCAUGUUUCUGAGGCUUUCCAGUUCUGCUUCUGACCCAGGGGCUCAGCGGUCCCAGCCCCUCAGGCUCUUCUGAGGAAACCCGCUCACUGUGACCUGAACUAAUAUCUAGUAAAGAAUCUAACUCC